rnacentral:snRNA from 1 species
GUGCUCGCUUCGGCAGCACAUAUACCAAA